rnacentral:rRNA from 1 species
CCUGAACGCUGGCGGCGUGGCUAAGACAUGCAAGUCGCACGGUGUAGCAAUACACAGUGGCGAACGGGUGAGUAAUGUAUCGCUAAUGUGCCCCCGGACUCUGAGAUAGCUAACCGAAAGGGUAGGUAAUAUCAGAUGAUAUACCUUUAUUCGCAUGAUAGAGGUCUCAAAGGUCCGCCGGUCUGGGAGCAGGCGAUAUCGUAU